AUUAAUUAAGACUUAAUUUUAAUUUUAUCUUUCUACAUUAGUAUGUUUCUUAUUAAGUUACCAUUGAGGACUGUGUAUGGUUUUUUCCCACUUAGUACCAUAUUCUAAUUUUAUGAUCGUAGAAUCUUAAAAUUGAAGGUGAUCUUACAGACUUUUUAAAACUCAGUCUUCUGUGCAUUCCAGCUGAAGAAUGCUUUGCAGUUAAUCUGAAAAUAAUUUAUGCUUGAUGACCUGAUUUCUCAUGUAUGGACAGGAAACACUUGUACUUUUAGAAUUUAAAUAAACAAUUCCUAUUGCUUAUUUCUGACAAAGUGAGUUUACUCCAAAGAAGCCUUCUUUCCUUUUGAAUUCUGAUGGGCAAAAAUCCAUCAAAGUUUUUUCAUGGAUUUGGAUUCAGUUUGUUGGCAUUUUUGCUCUAAUAUUAUAAUUCUAAGUAGUGAUCAUUA
rnacentral:lncRNA from 1 species